rnacentral:rRNA from 1 species
CAGUAGCGUAUAUUAAAGUUGUUGCAGUUAAAAAGCUCGUAGUUGAAUUUCUGGUGGGCGCGCCGGUCUUCCAAGUGUUGUACUGGGCGCAGUCCGCCAUCCUUGUGGAGAGGGCUCGCAUUGAGUUGCGUGUCGGAUCUGCAUCAUUUACUGUGAAAAAAUUAGAGUGUUUAAAGCAGGCUGUCGCUUGAAUACAUUAGCAUGGAAUAAUAAGAUAGGACUUCGGUCUAUUUUGUUGGUUGCGAACCGAGGUAAUGAUUAAUAGGGAUAGUUGGGGGUAUUCAUAUUUAAUUGUCAGAGGUGAAAUUCUUGGAUUUAUGAAAGAUGAACAACUGCGAAAGCAUUUACCAAGGAUGUUUUCAUUNA